UACGAAGGGGGCUAGCGUUGCUCGGAAUCACUGGGCGUAAAGCGCACGUAGGCGGCUCUUUAAGUCAGGGGUGAAAUCCUGGAGCUCAACUCCAGAACUGCCUUUGAUACUGAGGAUCUUGAGUCCGGGAGAGGUGAGUGGAACUCCGAGUGUAGAGGUGAAAUUCGUAGAUAUUCGGAAGAACACCAGUGGCGAAGGCGGCUCACUGGCCCGGUACUGACGCUCAUGCACGAAAGCGUGGGGAGCAAACAGG
rnacentral:rRNA from 1 species